rnacentral:rRNA from 1 species
GCGGAGGAAAAGAAACCAACAGGGAUUGCCCUAGUAACGGCGAGUGAAGCGGCAACAGCUCAAAUUUGAAAUCUGGCGUCUUUGGCGUCCGAGUUGUAAUUUGCAGAGGGCGCUUUGGCAUUGGCAGCGGUCCAAGUUCCUUGGAACAGGACGUCACAGAGGGUGAGAAUCCCGUACGUGGUCGCUAGCCUUUACCGUGUAAAGCCCCUUCGACGAGUCGAGUUGUUUGGGAAUGCAGCUCUAAAUGGGAGGUAAAUUUCUUCUAAAGCUAAAUACUGGCCAGAGACCGAUAGCGCACAAGUAGAGUGAUCGAAAGAUGAAAAGCACUUUGGAAAGAGAGUUAAAAAGCACGUGAAAUUGUUGAAAGGGAAGCGCUUGCAGCCAGACUUGCCUGUAGUUGCUCAUCUAGGUUUUUACCUAGUGCACUCUUCUAUAGGCAGGCCAGCAUCAGUUUGGGCGGUUAGAUAAAGGUCUCUGUCAUGUACCUCUCUUCGGGGAGAACUUAUAGGGGAGACGACAUGUAACCAGCCUGGACUGAGGUCCGCGCAUCUGCUAGGAUGCUGGCGUAAUGGCUGUAAGCGGCCCGUCUUGAAACACGGACCAAGGAGUCUAACAUCUAUGCGAGUGUUUGGGUGUCAAGCCCGAGCGCGUAAUGAAAGUGAACGGAGGUGGGAACCUUUCGGGGUGCACCAUCGACCGAUCCUGAUGUCUUCGGAUGGAUUUGAGUAAGAGCAUAGCUGUUGGGACCCGAAAGAUGGUGAACUAUGCUUGAAUAGGGUGAAGCCAGAGGAAACUCUGGUGGAGGCUCGCAGCGGUUCUGACGUGCAAAUCGAUCGUC